rnacentral:sRNA from 1 species
CGGAGAUCAAUCAUGAAUGUCAUUCGCGCUACCGCC